rnacentral:rRNA from 1 species
CAGCAGCCGCGGUAAUACGGAGGGUGCGAGCGUUAAUCGGAAUUACUGGGCGUAAAGGGUGCGUAGGUGGUAGGGUAAGUUAACUGUGAAAUUCCUGGGCUUAACCUGGGGUGGUCAGUUAAAACUGCUUUACUCGAGUAUGGGAGAGGGUAGUGGAAUUUCCGGUGUAGCGGUGAAAUGCGUAGAGAUCGGAAGGAACACCAGUGGCGAAGGCGGCUACCUGGCCUAAUACUGACACUGAGGCACGAAAGCGUGGGGAGCAAACAGGAUUAGAUACCCUGGUAGUCCACGCUGUAAACGAUGUCAACUAGCUGUUGGGUAUAUGAAUGUACUUAGUGGCGCAGCAAACGCGAUAAGUUGACCGCCUGGGGAGUACGGUCGCAAGAUUAAAACUCAAAGGAAUUGACGG